AUGGAGGAAAUGGAAGAGGCAAGCAACCAAAACCCAAGCGCCACCAUUACCAAUUGAAACCUAAACGAUCUCCCAGAGGAGCUCCUCCUCCACAUCCUCACCUGUCUUCCCAUAUUAGAAUCGGUCCAAACCUCCCUCAUAUCCCAGAAAUGGAGACCCCUCUGGUCUCGUGUUCCCUCCUUGAACUUCCUCUUCGAACUCUUCCCGCCAUACGAGCCACCCUUAGAUACUCGCCAGUUCUUCGCCGAGUUCAUCGACAGCGUUCUUAUUCUUCGCUCCAAUUCUCCCAUCCACACUUUUCGCCUCUCUUUCAUCUACCAUGGUCGCUACCGCUCUCAUGUCGACUCUUGGGUUCGAUCCGCCAUAACCCGCCUUCGCACACGUGAGCUCUAUCUCGAUUUCUUCAUCCACAAAGAUUUUCAUGACGAAGAAACUCAUAAUCACAGGUAUGAUUUCCCUUUCUCUGUUCUGAGAAAUGGGUGCGUAGCAAUCUUAGGCCUUACGCGAUGUGAUCUUUCGUUGCCGGCUAAAAUGUCCACGCUGCGUUUUUGCUCGAUUGGGUCCAUGUUUCUCAAUGAGGUUUAUUUGACGGACCAGGCAUUGCGGGAUUUGAUUUCGGGUUGCCCCAAUUUGGAGGCUUUGGAUCUUGAGAACUGUUUGGCGCAUCAUCAUAUGAAGAUAUGUAGCGCAAAGCUUAAGAGGCUAGCACUUAGGUAUUUUUAUGAUUCUGAACUCAAAGAGACCAUUUUGGUUGAUUGCCCAAACCUUUGUUCGAUCAGUUUUAAUUGUUGUGCCUUUGACAAAUUUGUACUUAAGAAUGCGUCGUCCCUGGUUGAGUUUCAUGUUGAUAUUUUGCACAAAAUCGAUCGAUCCUAUCGUUAUUGGAACAAGGUUGUGAGGCUACUAGGACAAGCACCUAAUGUUAAGCAUCUUAAUUUGCAGAAUUGGUGGUUUAAGUUUCUGACAUCAAAGGAUUCUUUCCCCAAAAGUUUUAUGAUCCACAAUCUCAACCACUUAGAGCUACGGACGGGGUUUACCCAAUAUGAUCUGGUUGGCAUGGCUGCACUGCUUAAGCUUUGUCCCAAUCUCGAGACAAUGAUGCUGGACUACCAUUUCAAGAUAGAGGAAGAUGAGACUUUAUCAGAAGAGUUCUCAAGUAAACCAGUUGAAUUGAGCAUGCCAAGUCUCAAGCAAGUUACGGUGACAUCUUAUACUGGAACAGAAGAUGAAGUUAAUUUUAUGAAAAUCUUGAGUACGCAAGGAGUUGCCCUAGAAAAGAUUAUACUUGUCCGUGGCCAUGUUGGUGCAAAGUCGCGUGUUCAAAUGGUUCUAUAUAGGAAUGCUUCACAAAGUUGGAAGUGCUACUUACCAGAUCUCGCCUCCACGACACUGAAUUAUAUAGACUCUGAGCUUUUUAAACAGGGAAUCAAUUGGCUCAUUGAAAGUUGAAUCCCUUAUUUUUAAAUAAGAUUAAUUUAAAAUA